rnacentral:rRNA from 1 species
GUGCCAGCAGCCGCGGUAAUACGAAGGUGGCAAGCGUUGUUCGGAAUUACUGGGCGUAAAGCGCGUGUAGGCGGCUCUUCAAGUCAGGCGUGAAAGCCCUGAGCUCAACUCAGGAACUGCGUUUGAUACUGUCGAGCUAGAGUGUGGAAGGGGCAAUCGGAAUUCCGUGUGUAGCGGUGAAAUGCGUAGAUAUACGGAGGAACACCAGAGGCGAAGGCGGAUUGCUGGGCCAACACUGACGCUGAGACGCGAAAGCCAGGGUAGCAAACGGGAUUAGAAACCCGGGUAGUCC